rnacentral:lncRNA from 10 species
CUUUUCUCUCCAGCUGCCUCGCAUGAUGGCAAAUGGCAUAUUUAAAUGGUAAAAGGCUUGAUCUCUAUCUCAAAACAUUUGACAUACUCACACUGAAGAUGGAAAAAACUGUUUUUGAUGGCUUCAGAGGAAAGACUGUGUACUAAGAAGAGGGAGUGGCAAAUCAAAGGCAUUGCAGCCUCUUUCAUCACUGCCGAUUGCUGAUGCCAACCAUGUGCCAAGUGCUUAAUACGUCACCUUAAAUCUUCUCAUCCACCCUCAGAGCUGCAGCAUCAACCCAGUGCCCUGACUUUCAAGACGACUAUGAAAACACCCCAACUGCUGCUAAAUUACCAGCAACAAGGAUCUGACAUUCUUAUUCAAAAGAAAGAACACCGAAAUUGACCUUACCCUGACAAUAUGAUGGCUGAAGGAUUUAUGAUCACUUAUAACAUUUGAAAUUGAGGCGGAACCUGAAGAAUAAGACUCUGGUGAAAGGUCCUAUUUAUGCUUUUGAUGUCUUUCACUUGGACAUUUACCACAUGCCUAUUGGUAGGUUUGUUACAUAGGUCAGUUAAGGUGAUACAAGAAUAAAUAAAACACUAUCCCUAUCCUUUAAUAUCAUUUAUUUAUGGGGUCAAUCACAGAUUUUCAUUUUUCAAAAUCUUUGAUAAAUGUCAGAAUUAUGUUUUUUAAUAUUUUUACAGAAUUAUUACAAUAUAUGGUAGAGGAUGGAAGGCAAGGUAGUAUGAAACGGAAAAGAUAUUUUGAAUUAAGGUAUUUGGACCUGGAUUAAUAUUUUUGCUUUGGUCUUUAUUAGCUGAGUGACCUUGAGAAAGUUCUUCUACUAAAAAAGAACAAAGAUAAUAAUUACUUCAUGAAAUUGCUGUAAAAAACACAUAACAAGUAUAUCCAGACUCAACAGUGUAUGCUCAAAAAUGCAGAUCCUUUUUCCCUUACCUGCAAAUAAAGUCUUACAGUAAUACAGUGGGGGUAAAGGUUUAAACUGGUGGAUUCAAGAAGGGCUAUAGAAAGAGGUAGCAUCUUAAUAGGGGAAGGAGAGGAUCCAAGAAAUCAGAUCCAUUUUCUACAAAAAGAAAUGGGAAGACAGAUAAUUCAAGAAGAAAAGUUUACAUGAUUAAAGACCCGAAGUUAGAAAUAGUGAUGUGUCUCAAUAGUAAGUUAGGAAUUGGGGUGGACACAAUUGUUGGAAGAAGGAUGGUUUCAGCAAAGGCCCAAGUUAGGUGACAAUUUCAAGUGUUUGUGAAGAUAUAUGAACAAAAUUAUAAAGUAGUUAGGGUAUAAGAAAUAGGGAGGAGGGAAUGAAUUAACAUUUAUGGAGUGUCUUGCAUGUUCCAAGCACUGUACUACUUGCCUUAUAAACCUUUCUUCAAUAAACGCCUACAACAAUCCUGAGAUGUGGAAUUAUUAGUUCCUCAAUGGACCCAGAGAGUUUCAAUUAUGUGCUUAAGAACACAGAGUUAGUAAAGGACAGAGACAGAAUUCAAAUUAAGCCUAUGUUACUCCACAUCCUAUGCAUUCACUAAACCUCUCAAGAAAACCAAUUUAUUGGACCUUUUAAUCAUUUAAGAAUGAGAUGAUAGGGGGCGGUUCCAAGAUGGCCAAAUAGGAACAGCUCCAGUCUACAGCU